AAUGAACGCUGGCGGCGUGCCUAACACAUGCAAGUCGUACGAGAAAGGGGCUUCGGCCCUGAGUAGAGUGGCGCACGGGUGAGUAACGCGUGGGUAAUCUACCCUUGGAUUUGGGAUAACUCUGCGAAAGUGGAGCUAAUACCGGAUAGUCUGGCUUUAAAUAAGAAGUCGGUAAAGGAUGCCUCUGCAUAUGCAUUCGUCCGAGGAUGAGCCCGCGCCUCAUUAGCUAGUUGGUAGGGUAAUGGCCUACCAAGGCUAGGACGGUUAGCUGGUCUGAGAGGACGACCAGCCACACUGGAACUGAGACACGGUCCAGAUACCUACGGGUGGCUG
rnacentral:rRNA from 1 species